rnacentral:rRNA from 1 species
AGAGUUUGAUCAUGGCUCAGAUUGAACGCUGGCGGCAUGCCUUACACAUGCAAGUCGAACGGCAGCACGAGAGCUUGCUCUUGGUGGCGAGUGGCGAACGGGUGAGUAAUAUAUCGGAACGUACCCUAGAGUGGGGGAUAACGUAGCGAAAGUUACGCUAAUACCGCAUACGAUCUACGGAUGAAAGUGGGGGAUCGCAAGACCUCAUGCUCAUGGAGCGGCCGAUAUCUGAUUAGCUAGUUGGUGGGGUAAAAGCUCACCAAGGCGACGAUCAGUAGCUGGUCUGAGAGGACGACCAGCCACACUGGAACUGAGACACGGUCCAGACUCCUACGGGAGGCAGCAGUGGGGAAUUUUGGACAAUGGGCGCAAGCCUGAUCCAGCAAUGCCGCGUGAGUGAAGAAGGCCUUCGGGUUGUAAAGCUCUUUUGUCAGGGAAGAAACGGUGGACUCUAAUACAGAUCACUAAUGACGGUACCUGAAGAAUAAGCACCGGCUAACUACGUGCCAGCAGCCGCGGUAAUACGUAGGGUGCAAGCGUUAAUCGGAAUUACUGGGCGUAAAGCGUGCGCAGGCGGUUGUGCAAGACAGAUGUGAAAUCCCCGGGCUCAACCUGGGAAUUGCAUUUGUGACUGCACGGCUAGAGUGUGUCAGAGAGGGGUAGAAUUCCACGUGUAGCAGUGAAAUGCGUAGAGAUGUGGAGGAAUACCGAUGGCGAAGGCAGCCCCCUGGGAUAACACUGACGCUCAUGCACGAAAGCGUGGGGAGCAAACAGGAUUAGAUACCCUGGUAGUCCACGCCCUAAACGAUGUCUACUAGUUGUCGGGUCUUAAUUGACUUGGUAACGCAGCUAACGCGUGAAGUAGACCGCCUGGGGAGUACGGUCGCAAGAUUAAAACUCAAAGGAAUUGACGGGGACCCGCACAAGCGGUGGAUGAUGUGGAUUAAUUCGAUGCAACGCGAAAAACCUUACCUACCCUUGACAUGUCUGGAAUCCUUGAGAGAUCAGGGAGUGCUCGAAAGAGAAUCAGAACACAGGUGCUGCAUGGCUGUCGUCAGCUCGUGUCGUGAGAUGUUGGGUUAAGUCCCGCAACGAGCGCAACCCUUGUCAUUAGUUGCUACGAAAGGGCACUCUAAUGAGACUGCCGGUGACAAACCGGAGGAAGGUGGGGAUGACGUCAAGUCCUCAUGGCCCUUAUGGGUAGGGCUUCACACGUCAUACAAUGGUACAUACAGAGGGCCGCCAACCCGCGAGGGGGAGCUAAUCCCAGAAAGUGUAUCGUAGUCCGGAUUGUAGUCUGCAACUCGACUACAUGAAGUUGGAAUCGCUAGUAAUCGCGGAUCAGCAUGUCGCGGUGAAUACGUUCCCGGGUCUUGUACACACCGCCCGUCACACCAUGGGAGCGGGUUUCACCAGAAGUGGGUAGCCUAACCGCAAGGAGGGCGCUCACCACGGUGGGAUUCGUGACUGGGGUGAAGUCGUAACAAGGUA